GAUGAACGCUGGCGGCGUGCCUAAUACAUGCAAGUCGAGCGAACAGACGAGGAGCUUGCUCCUCUGACGUUAGCGGUGGACGGGUGAGUAACACGUGGAUAACCUACCUAUAAGACUGGGAUAACUUCGGGAAACCGGAGCUAAUACCGGAUAACAUGUUGAACCGCAUGGUUCAACAGUGAAAGACGGUCUUGCUGUCACUUAUAGAUGGAUCCGCGCCGCAUUAGCUAGUUGGUAAGGUAACGGCUUACCAAGGCAACGAUGCGUAGCCGACCUGAGAGGGUGAUCGGCCACACUGGAACUGAGACACGGUCCAGACUCCUACGGGAGGCAGCAGUAGGGAAUCUUCCGCAAUGGGCGAAAGCCUGACGGAGCAACGCCGCGUGAGUGAAGAAGGUCUUCGGAUCGUAAAACUCUGUUAUUAGGGAAGAACAAAUGUGUAAGUAACUAUGCACGUGUUGACGGUACCUAAUCAGAAAGCCACGGCUAACUACGUG
rnacentral:rRNA from 1 species